rnacentral:rRNA from 1 species
UACGGGGGGAGCAAGCGUUGUUCGGAUUUACUGGGCGUAAAGGGCGCGUAGGCGGCCACCGCAAGUCGACUGUGAAAUCUCCGGGCUUAACCCGGAAAGGUCAGCCGAUACUGCGGGGCUAGAGUGCAGAAGGGGCAACUGGAAUUCUCGGUGUAGCGGUGAAAUGCGUAGAUAUCGAGAGGAACACCUGCGGCGAAGGCGGGUUGCUGGGCUGGCACUGACGCUGAGGCGCGAAAGCUAGGGGAGCGAACGGG